AUGAAGAGGAGUACAUGCGGUGGUGGAAGCUCCCUUGAAGCGUGUAGGAGACCUUGAGGACCUCGCCGGGCUGA
rnacentral:snoRNA from 1 species